rnacentral:rRNA from 1 species
UACGUAGGGGGCAAGCGUUUGUCCGGAAUUAUUGGGCGUAAAGAGCUCGUAGGCGGUUUGUCGCGUCUGCUGUGAAAAUCCAGGGCUUAACCCUGGACCUGCAGUGGGUACGGGCAGACUAGAGUGCGGUAGGGGAGAUCGGAAUUCCUGGUGUAGCGGUGAAAUGCGCAGAUAUCAGGAGGAACACCGGUGGCGAAGGCGGCCUGCUGGGCUAUGGCUGACACUGGAGGCGCGACAGCGUGGGGAGCAAACAGG